UUCCAUUAAAAAAUAUAUAAAUAAAUUAAAAUAUCUAACUUUGAAAUUAUAAUUUGUAUAAUUUCUCCAUAUUUGAAAUUACAAUGUGUAUUAUAAUAUCUUCUCGUGAAAAAAAAAAUGGCGCUUAGUAAAUAAGAGAGGAGCCAUUAAAUACAGGAAUGGCUCCCAAUUUUGAUUGGAUGAAAAAAUUUUGUUUCACGAAGUCCGAAAAACAUUUUUUCUCGUUUGCCGGAUAUCGUGACUUGUAUAUGUUAUAUAUGAAACAUGUAUAUGAAAUAUUAUGAAUAUAUUCUUUAGAUCGGAGCAAAUAUUUUGACCAAUCAAAUUAGGGAGCCAUUCCUAAGUAAAAUUCAACAGUAAAUGAUAGUUAAAUCUAUAUAAUUCACUACAAACAGUUAUACACGAAGUCUAAGAUGCGGAUGAUGAAGAUUUGCUGCACGUCACAUCAAUCAGAGUAAUGCUUGUGAUUAUCUUAUUAGAGUCAUGACUUAGUAAAUCUUGAUGAAAAAAACUGUUUGGUGAAAAGACUUUUAGCAAAAAAAAAUCUUAUUAAACUGUCUAAAUGAUUACUUCUAUAAAAAAGGUGUAGUGCAUACAA